rnacentral:rRNA from 1 species
GGGGAAUCUUGCACAAUGGGGGAAACCCUGAUGCAGCGACGCCGCGUGAACGAAGAAGCCUUUCGGGGUGUAAAGUUCUUUCGGCAGGGACGAUUAUGACUGUACCUGCAGAAGCAGCUGCGGCUAACUACGUGCCAGCAGCCGCGGUAAUACGUAGGCAGCAAGCGUUGUUCGGAAUUACUGGGCGUAAAGAGUGCGUAGGUGGUUGGCUAAGUUUGGUGUGAAAUCUCCCGGCUUAACUGGGAGGGUGCGCCGAAAACUGGCUGGCUAGAGUGUGGGAGAGGGAAGCGGAAUUCCUGGUGUAGCGGUGAAAUGCGUAGAUAUCAGGAGGAACGCCUGCGGUGUAGACGGCUUCCUGGACCAUGACUGACACUGAGGCACGAAAGCGUGGGUAGCAAAC